GUGCUUGUUUUGACAGCACAUAUACUAAAUUUGGAAUGAUAUACAGUAGAUUAGCAAGGCCCCUGCGCAAGGAUGAUACGCAAGUUGGUGAAGCAUUCCAUAUUUGA